rnacentral:rRNA from 1 species
AUUGAACGCUGGCGGCAUGCCUUACACAUGCAAGUCGAACGGCAGCACGGGUGCUUGCACCUGGUGGCGAGUGGCGAACGGGUGAGUAAUAUAUCGGAACGUACCUUAUUGUGGGGGAUAACGCAGCGAAAGCUGUGCUAAUACCGCAUAAUCCCUAAGGGGGAAAGCGGGGGACCGUAAGGCCUCGCGCAAUUAGAGCGGCCGAUACCUGAUUAGCUAGUUGGUGAGGUACAGGCUCACCAAGGCAACGAUCAGUAGCUGGUCUGAGAGGACGAUCAGCCCAGCGGGGACUGAGACACGGCCCAGACUCCUACGGGAGGCAGCAGUGGGGAAUUUUGGACAAUGGGGGCAACCCUGAUCCAGCAAUGCCGCGUGAGUGAAGAAGGCCUUCGGGUUGUAAAGCUCUUUUGUCAGGGAAGAAACAGCAGCUCUAACACAGUUUGCGAAUGACGGUACCUGAAGAAUAAGCACCGGCUAACUACGUGCCAGCAGCCGCAGUAA